rnacentral:misc_RNA from 1 species
GGGCGUGCUGCCGGGGAGGGGAGGGCGGCCGAUUCGGGUCGCUCCGUGCCGCGGGGCUUG